rnacentral:ncRNA from 2 species
CCUAGCCUAUCGCUCGACGGUGCCCUCCGGGGCCUAACAGGGAACGCGGUGAGGGCUCGCGCCCGAAUCCGCGGCUGCCCCCGCAACUGUGAGCGGCGAGCCCUCCAUCACCACGUCACUGGGGUCAUGCCCGGGAAGACGAUGGGGGGCGGCGACCCGCGAGCCAGGAGACCUGCCGUCGACCGUGGUCACAC